UACGUAGGGCCCAAGCGUUAUCCGGAAUUAUUGGGCGUAAAGAGCUCGUAGGCGGUUUGUCGCGUCUGCCGUGAAAGUCCGGGGCUCAACUCCGGAUCUGCGGUGGGUACGGGCAGACUAGAGUGAUGUAGGGGAGACUGGAAUUCCUGGUGUAGCGGUGAAAUGCGCAGAUAUCAGGAGGAACACCGAUGGCGAAGGCAGGUCUCUGGGCAUUAACUGACGCUGAGGAGCGAAAGCAUGGGGAGCGAACAGG
rnacentral:rRNA from 1 species